AUGAACAUGCUGCUAUUUUACAUUUUAAAUACUAGUCAGAAGCUCAGAUUUAACUAACUUUCAUUAAUGUAAUUGAAGAGCAAAACAAUAUGUCAUGAUGUAGGCAUAACUCACUAAAACCUUUCUUUUUUACAAAGAGAGACAGAAAAUGAUUACAAGUAAUGCCCCCAUCAAUCGGAGCAAUCCUGUUGAGUCCAGCAAAACUCAUUUAAGACUACUAUAGUUUGAUAUACAUCAAGUAGAGUAGGUACUUUUUUAUGCCAAAUGAUACCACUAAUGCUGACAGUGCAAUGUUCAAGAGAAAGAUCCUUUUAGUUUGUAGAGAAGAUGGAGAACACCUUUGAUUGUUCUGAACAGUGGGCCUUCUUGACCAAACUUACUACUGUGUUGAUCACAGUAAGAUCCUGACUCUGACAAAUCUCUGCAUUAUUGGACUGAGUACCUAUGCUCUGACAUUACUGCCUCUUGUUUCUUGUUUCUUUUUACUUGAUAACAGUUUGAAUCAAAUUUGUUUAGCCACUCUGAUUAUAACAUCACAAAUCAAUAUUAGUGUAUGUGGAGAUACCAUGUCAACUCUGAAGUUAUUAGAAAAGUAUUUACUAUUUAGGAAGCUAAACUGCAAAGAAUCAAAGGUAGAUAAAAAUGGUCACUUGAUUCAAAAGUAAUUAGAAAGCUACUAGCCAAGUUUAGUAGUUGGCUAAAUGCAGUCUUUUGAGUAGUCAGAGAAGUCGAACAUCCUAAAAGGCCUGUGGACAUACAUAACCAAUACUAAUUGAAUUGCUAAAACUCAUGUGAAGUAAAUAGCACUACCAUGCCUCUGGUGCUAAUCUGGCACAAGAAAUUUGCCCAAAGGCUUGUUGAUGAGAUUUUGUCAUCAUAAAGCUUCAAAAACCACAGAAUUUUUCCUUUAACACUGUGUUGGAUGACAUUGAAGGGAGACACAAGAAUGUGCUUCUUAUGUCAGAAUAAAAUGUCAGUGACAGAUCUCCAACCCAUAUUUACUUUUCUCUCUUUCUCUCCCUCUCUCUCUUAGUAGAUGAAAUGUUCAUGAGAUGCUCUCUUUAGAAUCAUAGCAAUGCAAUAACUUGCAACAAAUGUUUCCAAUUAAUAAAUCUUCAGUACAGGAUUUGUAGUCUGAUUUGAAUUGUGUGGCAAAUUUUGUGUACCAAAUGUCAACUAAUAUGUAACUAUUAUGACAUUUGGCAUUUGGAACUUGAUAUCUAAUACAAGUGAAUAUAUGUAUAUUAGCAAGCAACCUCUACUUGCAGAGGAAUCAUAGAUAACAACAUUGAGAAAGUGAGAUUAAUCAAAUCAUAACCAUUAAUAACAAAUGCUUCCCAUUUUGGAAUCAUGUGAUCCUUUUUAUUUCAGAAUAUUUGUAUUUAUUAUAAUUCAAAAAAAUAUUUCUUUCCUCUCUUCUUUCAUGGUUUAAUUGUCUUACCUGUUUUGAGCAGCAUGUACGCCGAGUUACGAUCCUCCGCGGAGGAUGAUAACCCGCAACAGGCAGUGGAGCAGUUCUUCGCACUAUUCGGUACCCUCACCCGCGCCGGCCUCGUCGCUGACUCCCUCUUCAAACUCGCUGUAACCUCACCGACCGACCCGCUGGGUGGUGACCCGACCAUGGAGGAGGCUCUCCGCGUCUCCGGGGUCCACCGGAAGCUCGCCGCUGCUUGGAUCCACACCGCCAUCGCCACCGACCUCUCCGCGUUCUCCCUCUACGGCCCCGGCGCUUCUCCUUCGAAGCAUCGGGGGACAACGGUCUCGGUGGUCCUCGAAGCCCCGCGCAAACCCGCAUCCCCUUUAAAGCCCACGUCUUCCUCCACUUCGUCCGCCCCCACCGCCGUUUCUCAGAUCAAGCAGCGCUCCUCGGCUUCGAUCCAGAAGCCCCGGGCGCCUCCGCCGCUCCCCCCGCCGCGAGAGUGGGUGAGCGGGCAAGGCGUGGCGGAGGUGGCGGCGGUCGGGCGAGCGCUGAGGCGGGAGGUGAGGGGGUGGUUCCUAGGGUUCGUGGAGCGGUUCUUGGACGCCGACGCGGCGGCCGCGGACGGGCCACGCGACCGCGACCUGGUGGCGGGGACGCUGUCGCAGCUGAAGAGGGUGAACGACUGGCUAGACGGCGUCGGGGAGAGGGGCGGCGACGGGAUGGCGGAGGACGGCGGCGUUCCACCGGAGACGAUCGAGCGGUUGAGGAGGAAGAUCUUCGACUACCUCAUCGCGCACGUCGAGUCGGCCGCCGUGGCGCUGGGCGGUGGCCGACAUGGCGUGCCGGCGUCGUCGUCAUCGCGCACCUCGUCCGUGCACGAAUCACGGAGCGCGAACAGGUACUAAAUUGCAACGGGUCACGUGGAGCGAUGCUAAGCAAUCUUAAUUCGUCUUUGGUGUCUGAAGGCCGUCAGCUGAUACAAUCACUGGAGGGCAAGUGGCCGUCCACAAUAUGAAGAUAUGUAUAUUUUGUUGCUCAAUAUCCUAUUUAUUUUCCACCCCAAAAAAUAUAUUAGAUAUUAUUAACACUCUUCCGACAUCCACCUGUAUAGCUCACAAAUAAGAUUGGUUUUUUGAGAGAGUUGAUGAUGACAAAAAAAUGUAUCUGAAUGAACGAAUUGUAGCCAAAGAUUCUGAUCAUAUUAAAUAUUAUUAUUAUUAUGCUCGUGUCUUCCUAUGUUAGUCUAUAAUUAUGUAUAUGCUGAAAUAAAUAAAACCGUAUUUAAAGUUCGAU
rnacentral:lncRNA from 1 species